rnacentral:rRNA from 1 species
AAAUGAAUAGACGGGGGCCCGCACAAGCAGUGGAUUAUGUGGUUUAAUUCGAAGCAACGCGAAGAACCUUACCAGGUCUUGACAUCGAGUGCAUAGCCUAGAGAUAGGUGAAGCCCUUCGGGGCACUCAGACAGGUGGUGCAUGGUUGUCGUCAGCUCGUGUCGUGAGAUGUUGGGUUAAGUCCCGCAACGAGCGCAACCCUUACUGUUAGUUGCUACGCAAGAGCACUCUAAUGGGACUGCCGUUGACAAAACGGAGGAAGGUGGGGAUGACGUCAAAUCAUCAUGCCCCUUAUGACCUGGGCUACACACGUAAUACAAUGGCGCUUAACAGAGGGAAGCAAUACCGCGAGGUGGAGCGAAGCCCUAAAAAGCGUCUCAGUUCGGAUUGCAGGCUGCAACUCGCCUGCAUGAAGUCGGAAUUGCUAGUAAUCGCGGAUCAGCAUGCCGCGGUGAAUACGUUCCCGGGCCUUGUACACACCGCCCGU